rnacentral:rRNA from 1 species
GACGAACUGUCCUAACGUUGUCCGGAAUCACUGGGCUUAAAGGGCGCGUAGGCGGUCCGACAAGUCAGGGGUGAAAUCCUGCAGCUUAACUGUAGAAGUGCCUUUGAUACUGUCGGUCUUGAGGGAAAUAGGGGUGUGCGGAACUUCCAGUGGAGCGGUGAAAUGCGUUGAUAUUGGAAGGAACGCCGGAGGCGAAAGCGGCGCACUGGAUUUCUUCUGACGCUGAGGCGCGAAAGCUAGGGGAGCAAACGGG